CAGAGAGUAGUUUAAAUAAAAUUUUAAUUUUGGAGAUUAAGGAUGAAAGUUACUUUUUUCUCUGA
rnacentral:tRNA from 1 species